GUCGCCCCAUUCUUCCGACCCAGCAAAAAUCGAACCCUAAUCCGACAUUUAGCUGCUCUCAUUCCAAUUUGAAGUGUUGUUAGGUUUGAUGGUGUUUGUGAGUUUAUAUUGGGAUGG